GAACGCUGGCGGCGUGCCUAAUACAUGCAAGUCGAGCGAACAGACGAGGAGCUUGCUCCUCUGACGUUAGCGGCGGACGGGUGAGUAACACGUGGAUAACCUACCUAUAAGACUGGGAUAACUUCGGGAAACCGGAGCUAAUACCGGAUAAUAUAUUGAACCGCAUGGUUCAAUAGUGAAAGACGGUUUUGCUGUCACUAAUAGAUGGAUCCGCGCCGCAUUAGCUAGUUGGUAAGGUAACGGCUUACCAAGGCAACGAUGCGUAGCCGACCUGAGAGGGUGAUCGGCCACACUGGAACUGAGACACGGUCCAGACUCCUACGGGAGGCAGCAGUAGGGAAUCUUCCGCAAUGGGCGAAAGCCUGACGGAGCAACGCCGCGUGAGUGAUGAAGGUCUUCGGAUCGUAAAACUCUGUUAUUAGGGAAGAACAAAUGUGUAAGUAACUAUGCACGUCUUGACGGUACCUAAUCAGAAAGCCACGGCUAACUACGUG
rnacentral:rRNA from 1 species